rnacentral:rRNA from 1 species
AUUGAACGCUGGCGGCAGGCCUAACACAUGCAAGUCGAACGGUAACAGGAAGCAGCUUGCUGCUUCGCUGACGAGUGGCGGACGGGUGAGUCAUGUCUGGGAAGCUGCCUGAUGGAGGGGGAUAACUACUGGAAACGGUAGCUAAUACCGCAUAAUGUCGCAAGACCAAAGAGGGGGACCUUCGGGCCUCUUGCCAUCGGAUGUGCCCAGAUGGGAUUGGCUUGUUGGUGGGGUAACGGCUCACCAAGGCGACGAUCCCUAGCUGGUCUGAGAGGAUGACCAGCCACACUGGAACUGAGACACGGUCCAGACUCCGACGGGAGGCAGCAGUGGGGAAUAUUGCACAAUGGGCGCAAGCCUGAUGCAGCCAUGCCGCGUGUAUGAAGAAGGCCUUCGGGUUGUAAAGUACUUUCAGCGGGGAGGAAGGGAGUAAAGUUAAUACCUUUGCUCAUUGACGUUACCCGCAGAAGAAGCACCGGCUAACUCCGUG